UACGUAGGGUGCGAGCGUUGUCCGGAAUUAUUGGGCGUAAAGGGCUCGUAGGCGGUUUGUCGCGUCGGGAGUGAAAACCAGGUGCUUAACACCUGGCUUGCUUUCGAUACGGGCAGACUAGAGGUAUGCAGGGGAGAACGGAAUUCCUGGUGUAGCGGUGAAAUGCGCAGAUAUCAGGAGGAACACCGGUGGCGAAGGCGGGUCUCUGGGCCGAUACUGACGCUGAGGAGCGAAAGCGUGGGGAGCAAACAGG
rnacentral:rRNA from 1 species